UACGUAGGUGGCAAGCGUUGUCCGGAUUUACUGGGCGUAAAGAGCGCGCAGGCGGUUGAUUAAGUCGAAUGUGAAAGCCCCCGGCUCAACUGGGGAGGGUCAUUCGAUACUGAUUGACUUGAAGGCAGGAGAGAGAAGUGGAAUUCCCGGUGUAGUGGUGAAAUGCGUAGAUAUCGGGAGGAACACCAGGGGCGAAGGCGACUUCUUGGCCUGUUCUUGACGCUGAGGCGCGAAAGCUGGGGAGCAAACGGG
rnacentral:rRNA from 1 species